AAGCAGCAAUCUGGCAGAUGAUCAAAACUGUCUGACACACUUUGAGCUUGCUAUAGCAACAAAGUCUAGCCUAUUCCAGUGCUCUCUCCUGUAUGACAUAAGCCAUUACAUAGACUUAGACAGU